UACUAAUGCAACUGCGAAUAGCUGUUUAAUACAGUCGUAAUUGUAUUGACUUAUGUAUUUAGUGAUGUUAUUUAUUUGGAUAACUAAGGGAAAGUUUGGCUAAUACGUUUAAAAUAUAAUAAUACAUUAUGCAUAUAAUAAAUAUUUAUUUUAUGAUAAAUAUUAUAUAAAUGAAAAUACAUUUGUAUUUUAAUGUUGCAGACUUUAUAAUAUUUAUUUAUUAUAAAGCAUGUCAAACAAGCAUCUAUAGCAUCAAGUCACAAUGUUGGCAUGUGUAUUAUUGAACCUUCAAAGCAUUUACGCAUUCGGAGGAGUAGUUUCUGAUCCCGUCGAAGGUGCCUGAGAGACGGCACUUAGUUCUAAGGAACGCAGCAGGCGCGUAAAUUGCCCAAUGACAAAACAUGAUAAAACUCAGUAAAAGAGGUGAAUAUUUUAUUGAGGCAGUGACAAGCUGUAAAGAUUGAAUAUAUUAAUUAAGAUAACAUUUGGAAUUGUCGUUUUAUAAUAUUUUUAAUAUUAUAUUACUUGAUAAUAUACCAAUGUUAUAAAAUAUUCAAUUUGAAUGCGGUGAAUAUAAUAAUUUCAAGUAACAUGUUAUAAAAUAUUUAUAUUUUAUUAGUUAUCUGAAUUUUCAAGUGGAGGGCAAGUCUGGUGCCAGCAGCCGCGGUAAUACCAGCUCCACUAGCUUAUACAAUCAUUGUUGCGGUUAAGAGGCUCGUAGUUGGAUUGAAUACAUUUUUACAAUACUGUGAACAAACCAGAGUGUAUAAAACAUGUAAUAUAUUAUAUAUUUAGCAAUGAAUGUUUUAUCAUGGAAUAUUGCUUAUAAUAUUUUUUAUCGAUGGAGAUAGUUGGAGUUAAGAGUACUGAUAGGCGAGCGGUGAAAUGCAUUGACCCUAUUAAGACUAACAAAAGCGAAAGCACUUAACUAGAUUAUUCUCUUUGUAUUAUUACAAUGAAGAGCGAAGGUUGGGGGAACAAAGAGGAUCAGAUACCCUCGUAGUCCUAUUUUUACAUCAAACUAUGGGAUUUCAAUCACACUCCUUACUAACAUAAAAUAUAUAAUAUAUAAUAUAAUUGAGUCGUAAAUACAACUCUUAUAUUUAAUUAUUAUUUUUAUUAUUCAUUAUAUGUACUUUGAGCUCAUAUAAUUAUAUAGGUGAGAUGUAAGCAUUAUAGGUGAAUAAUAUAUAAGUAAUAUUAUAUUAUUAUGAUCCUUAUUUAUAAAAAUGUAAUGUGAUGCACGUUUUAGGUACGAGCUUACUAUAGAAAUAUUUAAAAUAAUACCCUCCUGGGGUAGUAUGCACGCACGUGUGAAACUUGAAGGAAUUGACGGAAGGGCACCACAAGAACGCGUGGAGCAUGUGGCUUAAUUUGACUCAACCCGGGAAAUCUUACCAGGUCCAGACAUAUUGAGGAUUGACAGGCGAUAGUAUAUAAAAUAUAUUUUUAUAUGCAUAAAAAUGAUAGUCCUUUCAUGAUUAUAUGAUAGGUGGUGCAUGGCCGUUCUUAGUUCGUGGAGUGAUUUGUCUGCUUAAUUGCGUUUCAGUAAAUAAAAUAUAUAAUAUAUUAUAAUAUUUAGUUCUGCCUUAUUUAAGGAUUUAAAGUGAACAUAUUAUAUAUAUUAUUAUAUAAUUAAAUGAAUGC
rnacentral:rRNA from 1 species